ACAGGUACAGAGACUUGUGGCCACCUGAAAAAGAAGCAUUUCUACUUCGUCUGUCACCGGUCUGGAAGUUAUGCUUCACAAGCUACAAGUAAACAAAAGCUGAAGCGGCCUUCAAGUGUCAAGUGUGGAAAAAGAUGUUUUGCGGCAAUGGCUGUGACUGAAGACAACACAGACAAGCUGCGAGAAGGCGUGUCCAUGGAUGCAGUACUGGAUAAUGUGCGGUCCAACGUGGAUGAGACAUUCCACCGCAUUAACCUGUUAAGCAAGCAGGAUCUCCGCAAAAUAAUGAGGGAUGCCAGAGUC
rnacentral:lncRNA from 1 species